rnacentral:rRNA from 1 species
UUCGCAAUGCCCGAAAGGGUGACGAAGCGACGCCGCGUGUGGGAAGAAGGCCUUCGGGUUGUAAACCACUGUCGGGAGUUAAGAAAUGCAAGGAUAUGAAUAGUGUCUUUGCUUGACUAAGGCUCCGGAGGAAGCCACGGCUAACUCUGUGCCAGCAGCCGCGGUAAUACAGAGGCGGCAAGCGUUGUUCGGAAUUAUUGGGCGUAAAGAGCACGUAGGCGGCUAUGUAAGUCGGUUGUGAAAGCCUUCCGCUCAACGGGAGAACAGCAUCCGAUACUGUAUGGCUUGAGUGUGGGAGGGGAGAGUGGAACUUCUGGUGGAGCGGUGAAAUGCGUAGAUAUCAGAAGGAACGCCGGCGGCGAAAGCGGCUCUCUGGCCCAUAACUGACGCUGAGUGUGCGAAAGCUAGGGGAGCAAACGGGAUUAGAUACCCCGGUAGUCCUAGCCGUAAACGAUGGGCACUAAGUAGAGGGGUUUU